rnacentral:rRNA from 1 species
GAUAUGGACAGUGGCGGACGGGUGAGUAACACGUGGGAAUCUACCAUAGAGUACGGAAUAACGCAGUGAAAACUGUGCUAAUACCGUAUACGCCCUUAGGGGGAAAGGAGGGGAUCUUCGGACCUUUCGCUAUGAGAUGAGCCUGCGUUAGAUUAGCUAGUUGGUAGGGUAAAGGCCUACCAAGGCGACGAUCUAUAGCUGGUCUGAGAGGACGAUCAGCCACACUGGGACUGAGACACGGCCCAGACUCC